ACUGGGAGGGACUGGGAGGGACUGGGGACAGGGACUGGGAGAGACGGGGAGGGACUGGGAGGGACUGGGGAGAUCCUGAAUGAGCCUGAACGAGACUGGGGAUCCUGGGGAGAUCCUGACUGGGGACACUCAAAGAUCCCGGGGAUCCUGAAUGAGCCUGAAGGAGUCUGGGGAUCCCAGGGAUCCUGGGGAGACCCUGACUGGGGAGAAUGAGGGAUCCCAGGAGAUCCUGGGGAUCCUGACGGGGGAGACUGAGAGAUCCCAACUGGUCCUGGGGAUCCCAACCGAGCCUGGGGAGCCUGCACAAACCUGGGGAUCCCAACAGAUCCCGGGGAUCCCGACCGAUCCCGGGGAGCCCGAGGGGAAGGACGGAGCCCCCCUGGAGAUGGGGAAGAGCAGAGAUCCCAAAGGAUCCCAGAGGAUCCCAGAGGAUCCCAGAGGAUCCCAGCAGGCUCCGGCCAAUCCCGAGGGGAUCCCGAGGCGGGAGGGGAAGGGAAACCCCCCGGAAAACCCCGGGGAUCCCCCUGGAAUUCAGGGAUCCGCAGGGAGAGCGGAGAUCCCCAGGGAUCCCAAAGGAUCCCGGGGCAAAGGGACCCUGGGAGGGCGGAGAUCCACAGGGAUCCGCAGGGAAAAGUGGGGAAAAGUGGGGAAAAUGGGGAAAAAUGGGGAAAAGUGGGGAAAAUGGGGAAAAAGUGGGAAAAAAUGGGGAAAAAUGGGAAAAGUGGGGAAAAAAUGGGAAAAAAUGGGAAAAAAGUGGGGAAAAGUGGGAAAAAGUGGGGAAAAAGUGGGAAAAAGUGGGAAAAAUGGGGAAAAGUGGCAAAAAGUGGGGAUAAAGUGGGAAAAAGUGGGGAAAAAGUGGGGAAAAAAGUGGGAAAAAGUGGGAAAAAGUUGGAGAAAAUGGGGAAAAGUGGGGGGAAAGUGGGGGAAAGUGGGGAAAAAGUGGAAAAAAAGUGGGAAAAAAGUGGGAAAAAAGUGGGAAAAAGUGGGGAAAAAGUGGGGAAAAGUGGGAAAAGUGGGAAAAAGUGGGAAAAAGUGGGGAAAAGUGGGGAAAAAGUGGGAAAAAGUGGGAAAAAGUGGGAAAAAGUGGGAAAAGUGGGGAAAAAGUGGGGAAAAAGUGGGGAAAAGUGGGGAAAAAUGGGGAAAAGUGGGGAAAAAGUGGGGAAAAAGUGGGGAAAAAGUGGGAAAAAGUGGGAAAAAGUGGGAAAAAGUGGGAAAAAAGUGGGGAAAAGUGGGAAAAAGUGGGAAAAAGUGGGAAAAAGUGGGAAAAAGUGGGAAAAAUGGGGAAAAGUGGGGAAAAAGUGGGGAAAAAUGGGGAAAAAGUGGGAAAAAAUGGGGGAAAAAGUGGGAAAAAUUGGGAAAAAAGUGGGGAAAAGUGGGGAAAAAUGGGGAAAAGUGGGGAAAAUUGGGAAUGGGGGAGGGGUUCAGGCGGAGAGAGGAUCCAUGGGGGGGGAGGGGAGGGAAAAACGAGGAUUUGGGAGGAGAAAAAAGAGCAGGAAAAGCGAAUUCCGGGGAUUUAUCCCCAAAAAAUCCGGGCGGGAAAUGAGGAUUUAGGGAGGAUUCCCCCAAAAAAUGGGAGGGGAAGGAGCUUCGGGAAUUUUCCCUGGGAAAAAAAUGGGGAUUUGAGGGAUUUUCCCUUAAAAAGAAGAGGAAAAAAAAGGUUUAGGGAGAGUUUUCCUUAAAAGGAGGGAGAAAAAAAAGGAGCUGAAGGAAUUUUUUCCAUAAAUCCGAGCCAAAAGCGAAGUUUCAGGGAUGAGUUGUCGUGAAAAAAAGGGGGAAAAGGAGAUUCCUGGGAUUUUUUUUCCUGUCAAAAUAAGGAGAAAAAUGAAAUUUUUAGGGAUUUUCCCAGGAAAUCGAGGGAAAAAAAAGAGUUUGGGGUUUUUUUUUUUUGUAAAAAUGAGGAGAAAAACAAAUUUUGGGGCUUUUUUUAUCCGUAAAAUCCAGGCCAGAAAUGAAAAUUUUGGGGUUUUUUCAUAAAAUCCAACCCCAAACAUGAAAUUUUUUGGGAUUUCCCGCCGGAAAAACAGCGGGAAAAGGGAAUUUUGGAGGAUUUUUCCCAGAAAAACAAACCGAGGAAUCCCAAAAUUCCCGGCGUUUCUCUCCCAAACAAACGGAAACCCGGAACUCCCGGGAUUUCCUCCUCCCCCAUCCCACAAAAUUCCCUUUUCCCUCUUUUCCCAACCCCUCCCAGGGGGGAUUUCCGCUUCUUCCCGGCUUUUCCCAACCCCUCCCAGGGGGGAUUUCCGCUUCUUCCCGGGGGAAAAUUCCCAUUUUUCCCUUAAAAUCCCCAUUUUCCCCCUUAAAAUCCCCAUUUUUCCCCUUUAAAUCCCCAUUUUUCCCCUUAAAAUUCCCAUUUCUCUGCUUUAAAUCCCCAUUUUCCCCCUUAAAAUCCCAUUUUUCCCCUUAAAAUCCCAUUUUCCCCCCUUAAAUUCCCAUUUUUCCCCUUAAAAUCCCAUUUUCCCCCUUAAAUUCCCAUUUUCCCCCUUAAAUUCCCAUUUUCCCCCUUAAAAUCCCAUUUUUCCCCUUUAAAUUCCCAUUUUUCCCCCUUAAAUUCCCACUUUUCCGCCUUAAAUCCCCAUUUUUCCCCUUAAAUCCCCAUUUUCCCCCCUUAAAUCCCCAUUUUCCCCCCUUAAAUUCCCAUUUUCCCGCCCGGAAUCCCCAUUUUCCCGCCAGGAAUCCCCAUUUUCCCGCCAGGAAUCCCCAUUUUCCCGCCCGGAAUCCCCAUUUUCCCGCCCGGAAUCCCCAUUUUCCCGCCAGGAAUCCCCAUUUUCCCGCCCGGAAUCCCCAUUUUCCCGCCCGGAAUUCCCAUUUUCCCGCCCGGAAUCCCCAUUUUCCCGCCCGGAAUUCCCAUUUUUUCCCGCCCGGAGCCGCUCCCGGGGUUUUUUCCCGACCUUUUCCCGCCGAUCCCGGUUUUUUUUCCAGGGAUUUUUUCUCCCGGAGGAGCCGCGGGCUCCGAGCGGGGCCGCGCCUCAAAAGCCGUCCGGGGGGGGUUCAUUUGCAUAAAUUUGCAUGGAUUACCAUAAAUUUGCGUGCCGCGGAGCCGCGCCAUAAAAGAGCAGCGGGGGGUUAUUAAGGGUUAAUGAAUUAAUUAAGGGGGCGGGAAUUAAUGAAGGCGGAAAUGGGCGGGGGGAUAAUUAAAGGGAGAGGUGAGUGAUAAUGAAAAUGAAAUGAAAUGGAAUAAAAUGAAAUGAAAUGAAAUGAAAUUAAAUAAA
ensembl:lncRNA